AUGUAUUCCAGACCGCACAUCCCAGGACUUCUUCACAAGAAUGGAUUUCAGAGAGAGGGAAGGACAGAUCCACUCUUGGGAGGUCGUGGGCUGAAAGAUGUGAGGGUCCUUGACUUGGAUUUAUUGCCCUGGGGUUCUGCAUUCCGUGAUGAAAUUAGAAAUGGUUCUCCCAAAGAAGAGCAUGCCAUGAGGGGAGCAGUCAAAUCCAGCAGGCAUCUGGGACCUCAUUCUGUCUCUCCACUGAGUCUGUCUCACUUCCUGGAAAAGCAAAUCAUCAGGAACCACUUCCUCCCUGGACCAAACAUCAAGAGCAUCCUUGACAACACGCACCGGUUCUGGCUGCCGACAGACCUUUUCAGAUGGGACGAACUUCCAAUCAAUUCUCAUUUCUUCCAGGCAUCUUUGCUGAGUGGAAGAGAAGUGCAACAGAGAAAAAAGCUCAGUAAUGGCAGGACCCCAGAUUUGACCAAGGUGGCAAAAUAUCCAGCCUGUUAAUAAAACAGAUUAAUAAAUUCUGUAAUUUCCAUCUUCUGGUUGAGCAAUAAAACCACAAAGUAAAAUAACAACAAAGCCCAAGAGAUUAUAUGUUUUUAUGGGCAAAGCGAUUAUACGAUUUUAUGGGCAAAGUGUGGAGAAGGCGAUGGCACCCCACUCCAGUACUCUUGCCUGGAAAAU
rnacentral:lncRNA from 1 species